rnacentral:rRNA from 1 species
AGCAGUCGCCGCGGGAAUACAGAGGGUGCGAGCGUUAAUCGGACUUACUGGGCGUAAAGCGUGCGUAGGCGGCUUCUUAAGUCGGAUGUGAAAUCCCUGAGCUUAACUUAGGAAUUGCAUUCGAUACUGGGAAGCUAGAGUAUGGGAGAGGAUGGUAGAAUUCCAGGUGUAGCGGUGAAAUGCGUAGAGAUCUGGAGGAAUACCGAUGGCGAAGGCAGCCAUCUGGCCUAAUACUGACGCUGAGGUACGAAAGCAUGGGGAGCAAACAGGAUUAGAUACCCGUGUAGUCCCUGUCUCUUAUAC